UACGGGGGGAGCAAGCGUUGUUCGGAUUUACUGGGCGUAAAGGGCGCGUAGGCGGCCACCGCAAGUCGACUGUGAAAUCUCCGGGCUUAACCCGGAAAGGUCAGCCGAUACUGCGGGGCUAGAGUGCAGAAGGGGCAACUGGAAUUCUCGGUGUAGCGGUGAAAUGCGUAGAUAUCGAGAGGAACGCCUGCGGCGAAGGCGGGUUGCUGGGCG
rnacentral:rRNA from 1 species